GACGAACGCUGGCGGCGUGCUUAACACAUGCAAGUCGAACGGAAAGGCCCUGCGUUUGUGGGGUGCUCGAGUGGCGAACGGGUGAGUAACACGUGAGUAAACUGCCCUUGACUUUGGGAUAACUUCAGGAAACUGGGGCGAAUACCGGAUAGGAGCUCCUGCUGCAUGGUGGGGGAUGGAGAGUGUCGGCGGUUGGGGAUGGACUCGCGGGUUAUCAGCUUGUUGGUGGGGUAGUGGCUUACCAAGGCUUUGACGGGUAGCCGGCCUGAGAGGGUGACCGGCCACAUUGCGCCUGCGGGACGGCCCAGACGCCUACGGGAGGCAGCAGUGGGGAAUAUUGCACAGUGGGCGGAAGCCUGAUGCAGCAACGCUGCGUGCGGGAUGACGUCCUUCGGGUUGUAAACCGCUUUCUCCGGUGACGAACCGUGAGUGACGGUAAUGGAUAAGGAAGCACCGGCUAACUACGUG
rnacentral:rRNA from 1 species